UACAGAGGGUGCGAGCGUUAAUCGGAAUUACUGGGCGUAAAGCGCGCGUAGGCGGCUUUGCAAGUCGGGUGUGAAAUCCCCAGGCUUAACCUGGGAACUGCAUUCGAGACUGCAUUGCUAGAGUAUGGGAGAGGGAAGUGGAAUUUCAGGUGUAGCGGUGAAAUGCGUAGAUAUCUGAAGGAACAUCAGUGGCGAAAGCGACUUCCUGGACCAAUACUGACGCUCAUGUGCGAAAGCGUGGGAGCAAACAGG
rnacentral:rRNA from 1 species